CGGUAACCGCCCUGCGGGGCGGUUUCAAAAGGGAAGACGGGUGAGAAUCCCGCACAGUCCCGCUGCCGUGAUGGAAGAGCAAACCCGCAUACAAGUCACUGGCCCCUUCGGGCCGGGAAGACACGGGCGCGCCAUGAGGCCAGAGUCGGAAGACCUGCCGCAG
rnacentral:ncRNA from 1 species